CUUUCAAACCUCCACCCUUCACUCCCUCUGACGAUCCCAACCUUGACGAGCUCGAGGACCUCGAGGACGAUCCUGAUCUUGACGACGACCGGUUCCUUGAAGAGUACAGGUGAGUGUUUAGGGUUUUCACUCCCUCACUCCUCAAAUUUGUUCUCUUCCACAAAUCCACUGCUUGUGGCUGUAGACACUCCCUUUCUUUUUUGGGCUCUGAUAAAAAAACCCAUCUCCCAUUUUCUUCUCUCUCUCUCUCUUUCUCUCUCUCUCUCUCUCUCUCUCUCAUAAGUUCUGUGCCACAUCGAGGUGUUCGAACUUUAUGGAACUGGAGCUCGAUGCAUUUUUGGUACUCCUAAUCUUUUCAAGGAUCUAAACAUGAAGGAGCAGCUUGGCGUUGGAACUUCUUUGCCGGGCUUGGUAGUAGCAAAACUGGGAGCAGAUGUUACACUUACAGAUAAUUCAAGUCGACUAGAGGAUCAAGGAGGAAGAAACAUGAUGCUUCAACAACUUGGAGGAGUAAAUGCAAUUGGAUUUUAUAAAUUAUGCAAAGUUCAUCAAGUUAUGUAAACAAUUGUAUUCUUUAUAAUCUAUGUAAAAAAUUAUGUAUCUUUCUAGUUUUUUGGUGAAUGUAUUAUUUGAAUAUAAUUAUAUUUGAUAUUGAAAUAUAAUUAGAUCGAUUGUGUUGGAUAUGAA